rnacentral:lncRNA from 1 species
UGGUGCCAGAUCGUUGCACGCCAAUAGUCAAUAUACAGCCACUCCACGUUUUCUACAUGACUUUAAGAUCUGUAAUCCUUUUCUUUUAGUUGAUCAAGCACAUACUGUCAUUGUCUUCUGUCUGAUCACCCUGUUCUUCGGUGUGCGUGUUCUGUAUAUGUCUGCAUCUGCGCACAUGGUGUUUUGUUUUGAUCGUUCGCCAUGCACCCUUCUGGGGCGUUCCCCCCCCCCUCGUUACUACCUCUUCCGCUCCUAAUUGUUUGACUCUGCUCACCUGAAUUCAAUGUCUGUUCAUCUCUCGCUGUAUUUAUUUCCGUCUUUCGUGCCAAUUGGUGCCAGAUCGUUGCACGCCAAUAGUCAAUGUACAGCCACUCUGUCCGCUCCAGUCUAGCCUUGUUCAGUCGUGCCAUUGUCGGUCCUUGUCAGGUUUCUCUGCCACCAGUUGUUUUGUUCUUUCUAUUUUUUUUCCCCCUUCCUCAUUUCCCAGACGAGGCAUCUGCAUUCCGCAGAAGUUUUUCGGUCCGCUCUGAUGUCGGUUCUCAUGUGUCUUCCUCCCCUCUCCGUUCUCUACGCGGCCGCGCCAUCGGGCGCCCCCUGCCGGGUGGUUUCGCAAGGACAUUGAAGCCUCUGAUUUUUCUGUUGGACUAUUUUCAUUGAUUUCCCGGUCUUUUUCUGUUCGUUUGAGGAAGUUUCUUUUGGACUUAUAAAAUAAAUUGGUAGCAUACUGAAACCUGCAUCUGUGUCCGG